UAAUGGCCCAGGACUGAAGGA
rnacentral:misc_RNA from 1 species